UGCCAGGAUAGCUGUGAUAAUGGCUG
rnacentral:piRNA from 1 species